AUUAUAAAUUUAAUUAUUAUUAUUGAUUUUUUAAAGUAUUAUUUUAUUUAUUAUUAUAAAAGAAAAAUUAAUUUUUUAUUAUAGUUUACUAGUAAAGUGAUUGAAUUUAUUUAUAUAUUAAUAAGAAAAAUUUAUUUUUUGUACCUUGUGUAUCAGGGUUGAUUAAUUUUAUAAUUAUUAUUAAUUUUUCUCGAAUUAAGAAGAGCUAAUUAUGUAUAUGUUUAAUUUUUUCAUAAAUUUUCAUAAUAUAUAAUUUGAAAUGAAAUGUUAUUCGUUUCUUAAUAUAUCUAGUUUUUUAAGAAAAGAAUUUAAUUCUCUUAUUAUUUAUUAUUAGUUAAUUUUUAGUUAAUAAUUUUUAGUAUGAAAUAAAUAAAGGGAUAAGCUUUUAUUUUAAUAAUUAAAAAUUUAUUUGGUUUUAUUUUUUGUAUAAUUUAAAUUGUUAAUCAUUUUUAUAAUAUAAUAGUUAAUUUUAUUUAAUUAAUGAUUUAUAUUUAUUUUAAUUUUUUUAUUAAAAAUUUAUGUUUAAUUUUUUAGCUUUUUUAUAAUGAUUAAAUUAGUAGAUAAAUAUGUAUUUUAUUAUUUAUUUUUAAGAUAAUAAAAAGGAACUCGGCAAAUAAAUUUUUCGCCUGUUUAUUAAAAACAUGUCUUUUUGAUUAUAAUUUAAGGUUUAAUCUGCUCAAUGAUUUAUUAAAUUGCCGCAGUAUUUUGACUGUGCAAAGGUAGCAUAAUAAUUAGCUUUUUUAUUGAGAGCUGGAAUGAAUGAUUGGACGAAAAAAUUUCUGUCUCUUUAUUAUUUAUUAUUUAAUUUUACUUUUAAGUUAAAAGGCUUAAAUUUUUUUAAAAGACGAGAAGACCCUAUAGAGUUUUAUUUUUAUUUUUUGAUUAAUUUUUAGAAUUUAAAAUAUUUUAUAAAAUAAAAAAUUUAGUUGGGGUGACUGAAAGAUUAAUUAAACUCUUUUAAUUGAAAUCAUUUAUUUAUGAAUAGAGAAAUUAUUUUUAUAAAUUUAAAAUAAAUUACCUUAGGGAUAACAGCGUUAUUUUUCUUUAGAGUUCUUAUUGAAAGGAAAGAUUGCGACCUCGAUGUUGGAUUAAAAUUUAUUUUUGGUGUAGAAGCUUAAAUAUUAAGUCUGUUCGACUUUUAAAAUUUUACAUGAUCUGAGUUUAAACCGGUGUAAGCCAGGUUGGUUUCUAUCUUUAAAUUUUUAAUAUAUUUUAGUACGAAAGGACCAAAUAUAUAAUAUAUUAUUUUAUUUUGAAUAAUAUU
rnacentral:rRNA from 1 species